rnacentral:rRNA from 1 species
CCUACGGGUGGCUGCAGUCGAGGAUCUUCGGCAAUGGGCGCAAGCCUGACCGAGCGACGCCGCGUGCGGGAUGAAGGCUUUCGGGUUGUAAACCGCUGUCAGUGGGGAGGAAAUUCCUGGGGGUUCUCCCCCAGGAUUGACCUAUCCGCAGAGGAAGUACGGGCUAAGUACGUGCCAGCAGCCGCGGUAAUACGUACCGUACGAACGUUAUUCGGAAUUACUGGGCUUAAAGGGUGCGUAGGCUGUGCGGAAAGUUGGGUGUGAAAUCCCCUGGCUCAACCAGGGAAUGGCGCCCAAAACUACCGUGCUGGAGGAAGACAGAGGUAAGCGGAACUUCGGGUGGAGCGGUGAAAUGCGUUGAUAUCCGAAGGAACACCGGUGGCGAAAGCGGCUUACUGGGUCUUUUCUGACGCUGAGGCACGAAAGCUAGGGUAGCGAAC